rnacentral:rRNA from 1 species
AUUGAACGCUGGCGGCAGGCCUAACACAUGCAAGUCGAGCGGAUGAGGGAAGCUUGCUUCCCGAUUUAGCGGCGGACGGGUGAGUAAUGCCUAGGAAUCUGCCUAUUAGUGGGGGAUAACGUUCCGAAAGGAACGCUAAUACCGCAUACGUCCUACGGGAGAAAGUGGGGGAUCUUCGGACCUCACGCUAAUAGAUGAGGCUAGGUCGGAUUAGCUAGUUGGUGAGGUAACGGCUCACCAAGGCGACGAUCCGUAGCUGGUCUGAGAGGAUGAUCAGCCACACUGGAACUGAGACACGGUCCAGACUCCUACAGGAGUCAGAAGUGGGGAAUAUUGGACAAUGGGCGAAAGCCUGAUCCAGCCAUGCCGCGUGUGUGAAGAAGGUCUUCGGAUUGUAAAGCACUUUAAGUUGGGAGGAAGAGUUGUAAGCUAAUAUCUUGCAGCUUUGACGUUACCAACAGAAUAAGCACCGGCUAACUCUGUGCCAGCAGCCGCCGUAAUAC